rnacentral:rRNA from 1 species
CAAUACAGUGAUGUGGAGGCAAAACCCUAAAAAACGAAUCUCAGUUCGGAUUGAAGUCUGAAAUUCGACUUCAUGAAGCUGGAAUUGCUAGUAAUGGCAGGUCAGCAUACUGCCGUGAAUACGUUCCCGGGCCUUGUACACACCGCCCGUCACACCAUGAGAGUUGGGAAUACCCGAAGCCUGUGAGCUAACUUUUUAAGAGGCAGCAGUCGAAGGUAGAAUCAAUGAUUGGGGUGAAGUCGUAACAAGGUAGC